rnacentral:misc_RNA from 1 species
GUUUGUUUCCACGGGACAGAGUAACUUGAUUUAGCCUCUCCUAGGCUUUGUCUGUAUAUAAAGAACGGAGACAUAGCCUAGAAUAGGUUAGGUCAGGGCUCGUUCGACACGAUUAUCUUCGUACUACUCUUCUUAUGUCGAGGACACACGCAAGGUCAAGCUCAAGGUCAAUAAUCGGCAGGAAAUAUCAAGGGAACGUUGCAGGGAAGCUCUCAACUGUAACCAAGGUAAGAGACGUCCAAGCAAUAGCAAACACUGCCAUAAAACCACCUUCGAAGCCAAGCACUGCAGAACUAUUUGUGCCCACUAGAAUUAAACACAGAGCAGCUACUGAUGAGAGGAAUAAUGAAAUACCAAUCAUUUUUGGCCGUUCAAGCACAGUGAGUGCUAAUCCUGCUAAAAUAGCAGCAGGCACGAAGGCCAAUUGAGCAACGAGAUGGCCAUAUAUAAAAAAAUACCUGGUAAACCAUCAUUGCUUCUACAUCUCUGCCUGCUUCUACCAAAUAUCUUGUACUUUCUGGUAGGAAAAUGAGCCCGACAGUAGAGCAUAAUGCAGGUAAACAACAAAGUAAAAGGAAGAGAUGCCAAGCACUGAAGUGUUCUUUGUUUUCAAGAACUACCAUUUCUCCAGUUGUAGGAACCACCGCCCAUGCUAGAAGAGCUGCAUAUACACCUCCCAGUGCUCCUGCUGCCACUAAUAAGCCAAUCCAUCUACUCCUGCUUAAUCUUGGACAACAUUCUGCGAGAUAUGCAAAUGCUAGUGGUAAAGAUCCCCCUACUCUGUGGUGAAAUAAGAUAUACAGUUCAUUUCAAAUAAUCUUAAAGUAUACCUAAAUACAAAAAAAGAUAGGAAUUCCUUACCCAAUUGCAGAACAAAAUCUAGCACACAUAAAUGUUCCAUAAGUUGGCAUAAAAGUGGCUACACCACUAAAUACAGCAUGAACAGACAUUGCAGACAAUAAAGAUCUGCGUCUACCAAUCCUGUCUCCUAAACCGCCCCAAAAUAAUCCUCCUAGUGCAAGACCCAUUAAAGUAAUAUUGCCUAAAAUAAAAAGAU